CCUACGGGAGGCAGCAGUGGGGAAUAUUGCACAAUGGGGGAAACCCUGAUGCAGCGACGCCGCGUGAGUGAAGAAGUAUUUCGGUAUGUAAAGCUCUAUCAGCAGGGAAGAAAAUGACGGUACCUGGGUAAGAAGCCCCGGCGAACUACGGGCCAGCAGCCGCGGUAAAUCGUAGGGGGCAAGCGUUAUCCGGAUUUACUGGGUGUAAAGGGAGCGUAGACGGAAGGGCAAGUCUGGAGUGAAAGGCGGGGGCUCAACCCUGGGACUGCUCUGGAAACUGUACGGCUGGAGUGCGGGAGAGGUAAGUGGAAUUCCUAGUGUAGCGGUGAAAUGCGUAGAUAUUAGGAGGAACACCAGUGGCGAAGGCGGCUUACUGGACUGUAACUGACGUUGAGGCUCGAAAGCGUGGGGAGCAAACAGGAUUAGAUACCCGUGUAGUC
rnacentral:rRNA from 1 species